rnacentral:lncRNA from 1 species
UGAGACGUUAUAGAUAUUAAUUUGUUGGAUUCCUUAACAUGCAUUGGCUGUAACACAGGAACAGGGGCAUCAGAUUAAAAACAUUUUUGAAUUAUGUAUGAUCAUUGAUAGAUAAGCUCAUGAAUUAUUUCUGUCAUGUUGUAUUGAAGCCAUUCUCUUAGACAGUAGAUAAUUUCCAUUCAAACUGGACACCGAGGAGUUUAAUUUCUGAAAUUUGUUCUGUGUGGAAACAUUCUAAAUCAUUUCAACUAAAAACAUUUGGCACUGAUCUCUUUUAAAGUCCAAUUUAUAUACAUGAUACUUUCACAGGUAUUGAGCUUUAUAAGAAAUGUACUUUACAAACUGAUUUCCAUGUGUGUGUGAUUUUUUUCUUGUUAGGAGAUUGGAGGGAAACCAUUUUUUAAAUGGUUUUAAUAUCUAUUCUCUGACUAUUAGGGUAUUAGAGAAGCAAAUAAUAACAAAAAAUAAACUGUAUCAAUGUAUGCUUCAGUAUUUCUUGAAAACACUAAAACUUCAUUAAUAGUAAUACUAAAAAAAAAGUCAAAAUAAUAAGACAGAGAUUUCCAAACUGGGGGCAUGGGAGGUUGCAGUAUAUUCAAAAAUAGACACUAUUAUAACAAAAAUAAGGAGUUGAUUAUGAAGAGAGAAAAAAAGGCAACAGCAACCUGAUUGAAAAUAAGUUAUUGAAUUUGUAUGUGUUAUGUAGUAGGGGGUCUUCAAUCAGAGUGCCUAUUGUCAUGGAGGGCUUUCACCUGAGCUAAGAAAGUUUUGGAACCCUUGUAGUAGGACACUUUUACAGACAUCAGUAUCGGGUAUUGUGACAUACUGACUGAGUAUUCUCACAGAUGUGUUUCAGGUAUUGUGACACAUCUGUGGCUGAGUAUUCUCACAGACGUGUAUCGGGUAUUGUGACAUACUGACUGAGUAUUCUCACAGAUGUGUUUCAGGUAUUGUGACACAGCUGUGGCUGAGUAUUCUCAGACGUGUAUCGGGUAUUGUGACACAUCCGUGGCUGAGUAUUAUCAAAGACGUGUAUCGGGUAUUGUGACACAUCUGUGGCUGAGUAUUAUCAAAGACGUGUAUCGGGUAUUGUGACACAUCUGUGGCUGAGUAUUAUCAAAGACAUAUAUUGGGUAUUGUGACACAUCUGUGGUUAAGUAUUCUCAGGGACAUGUAUCAGGUAUUGUGACAUAUCUCUGGCAGAGUAUUUUUCAGACAAGUGUUUUUAUCACAGACAAAAUAUUCUAAUUAUAUGUUAUUCAUAGAUCCAAAAUGUUUAUUGUGGUUUAUGAAUAAUGCCUAAAAUGAUGCAAUUGAAAACAACAGUCCAUACAUACACCAGUAAGUGUGCAGGUACGAUAAUUGAAACUUCAGUUUGAGUCUGCUAGCGGAUUUUAUUUGUACAACAGUAGUUGUGUGUUAAACAUUCUUCAAAAACUGUUUGUUAUGUAUGUUGUAGGUAGCUACUGAAGAAUCCAUAAGAUGAAAUAUUUAGAAGUAAACAAAUAUUUAUUUGGAGAAAGAAAUUGUUGGUGUAAUGACUAUGUUAAAUAGGUCUAAAAUGUGUUCAUGUUCACAGACUUGUAUGAAACUGAAGUACAACUGCUUGUUUUUGAUGAUUUUAUACUACUUCAAAUUAUGUAUAUAAACUGAGAAAGAGAAUUGCAGUAGUGAUUAAAGCUAUAUAAAACAUCUCUGGUUUGUGUUAUAUACUUUUCUUUGCAUUUAUUAAAACAUAAUAUAC